rnacentral:tRNA from 1 species
GUGGGUAUAGCUCAGGGGUAGGGCGCAUGCUUAGCAUGCACAGGGUUCUGGGUUCAAUUCGCAGUACCUCCA